UUGAUAUUGCUUGAUUCAAAUGUCCAAGGGAAAUUUGGGUUUCUAUAUGACAUUUUUGUCUAUUGGAUUGUAGCCCAUUGGUCAGAUCUUUUCGACUCUUAACUUUUAAAUUUUUGCUUAGGAUUAGUCUCUUCAUCUCCCCCCACUUCUUUAAUUUCAAAUCUCUCCCCCUUUUAAAAUCUUAUUUGCUCGUGUUUUCCAAACUUAGACUUUAUCGCAAAUUAGAAACUGUG
rnacentral:lncRNA from 1 species